UACGUAGGGUGCAAGCGUUAAUCGGAAUUACUGGGCGUAAAGCGUGCGCAGGCGGUUCGCUAAGUCAGGUGUGAAAUCCCCGGGCUUAACCUGGGAACUGCAUUUGUGACUGGCGGGCUAGAGUAUGGCAGAGGGGGGUAGAAUUCCACGUGUAGCAGUGAAAUGCGUAGAGAUGUGGAGGAAUACCGAUGGCGAAGGCAGCCCCCUGGGCCAAUACUGACACUGAGGAGCGAAAGCGUGGGGAGCGAACAGG
rnacentral:rRNA from 1 species